rnacentral:rRNA from 1 species
CCUACGGGAGGCAGCAGUAGGGAAUAUUGCUCAAUGGGGGAAACCCUGAAGCAGCAACGCCGCGUGGAGGAUGAAGGUUUUCGGAUUGUAAACCUCUUUUGUUAGAGAAGAUAAUGACGGUAUCUAACGAAUAAGCACCGGCCAAUUCCGUGCCAGCAGCCGCGGUAAUACGGAGGGUGCAAGCGUUACUCGGAAUCACUGGGCGUAAAGAGAGCGUAGGCGGGAUGGCAAGUCAGAUGUGAAAUCCUAGGGCUUAACCAUAGAACUGCAUUUGAAACUGUUAGUCUGGAGUAUGGGAGAGGUAGGUGGAAUUCGUGGUGUAGGGGUAAAAUCCGUAGAGAUCAAGAGGAAUACUCAUUGCGAAGGCGACCUGCUAGAACAUAACUGACGCUGAUGCGCGAAAGCGUGGGUAGCAAACAGGAUUAGAUACCCGGGUAGUC